rfam:Triticum aestivum genome assembly, contig: Triticum_aestivum_CS42_TGACv1_scaffold_308456_4AS
CUGUUACUCCCUCCGUCCAGAAAUACUUAUCAUCAAAAUGGAUAAAAUGGAAUGCAUCUGAAACUAAAAUACGUCUAGAUACAUCUCCUUUUAUCCAUUUUGAUGACAAGUAUUUUCGAACGGAGGGAGUACUAU